rnacentral:misc_RNA from 1 species
AACAUCGCGCACCUGCGGGAACCUGCGGAAGGAUCAUUAAUGAUUGGUGGCUGUUGCUGACUAGUGUUUCUAGUAUGUGCACGCCACACCUUCAAUCCCACUUACACCUGUGCACCUUCUGUAAUAGAUCUAUGUGGAUACGGAGAUAUGAAAGCUUGCGCUCUCGUACUCUGUUGAAGCAGUCUACUACGUUUUUUUACACACACACAAUAGUCAUUGAAUGUAUUUUUUAUUCUUAUG